CCUUGACGACGACUGGCGCACGGGUGAGUAACGCGUAUCCAACCUUCCCAUGACCACGGGAUAACCCGUUGAAAGACGGCCUAAUACCGUAUGACGUCGUUUGCCGACAUCGAAAGACGACCAAAGGUUUGGCGGUGAUGGAUGGGGAUGCGUCUGAUCAGCUUGUUGGCGGGGUAACGGCCCACCAAGGCUACGAUCAGUAGGGGUUCUGAGAGGAAGGUCCCCCACAUUGGAACUGAGACACGGUCCAAACUCCUACGGGAGGCAGCAGAA
rnacentral:rRNA from 1 species